rnacentral:siRNA from 1 species
AGAUCCCCUGUUAUUGAAGCCU